rnacentral:rRNA from 1 species
GGUAGAGAGAAGCUUGCUUCUCUUGAGAGCGGCGGACGGGUGAGUAAUGCCUAGGAAUCUGCCUGGUAGUGGGGGAUAACGUUCGGAAACGGACGCUAAUACCGCAUACGUCCUACGGGAGAAAGCAGGGGACCUUCGGGCCUUGCGCUAUCAGAUGAGCCUAGGUCGGAUUAGCUAGUUGGUGAGGUAAUGGCUCACCAAGGCGACGAUCCGUAACUGGUCUGAGAGGAUGAUCAGUCACACUGGAACUGAGACACGGUCCAGACUCCUACGGGAGGCAGCAGUGGGGAAUAUUGGACAAUGGGCGAAAGCCUGAUCCAGCCAUGCCGCGUGUGUGAAGAAGGUCUUCGGAUUGUAAAGCACUUUAAGUUGGGAGGAAGGGUUGUAGAUUAAUACUCUGCAAUUUUGACGUUACCGACAGAAUAAGCACCGGCUAACUCUGUGCCAGCAGCCGCGGUAAUACAGAGGGUGCAAGCGUUAAUCGGAAUUACUGGGCGUAAAGCGCGCGUAGGUGGUUUGUUAAGUUGGAUGUGAAAUCCCCGGGCUCAACCUGGGAACUGCAUUCAAAACUGACUGACUAGAGUAUGGUAGAGGGUGGUGGAAUUUCCUGUGUAGCGGUGAAAUGCGUAGAUAUAGGAAGGAACACCAGUGGCGAAGGCGACCACCUGGACUAAUACUGACACUGAGGUGCGA